AAGAAUUAAAAAUAAGAAUAAAAAGACUACAUUAUAAUAUAUUUGCCGGAGUUAGUAAAAAUUCAAUAAAUACACAAAAAGAUGAAAUAUCAAAAUUAGAAUCACAAAUAGAUAGUUUAGAAUAUAUAUAUCAACAUGAACUAUUUACGAUAAAAUGAAUAAAGAAGAAUUUAUCAUAGAUGAAAAAAUAUAUGAAAAUUAAGAAGGAUCAAAAAUAAAAAU
rnacentral:lncRNA from 1 species